UACAUAAGUGGCGAACGUUAUCCGGUUUUAUUGGGCGUAAAGGAUGCGUAGAUGGUAAAACAAGUUAUUGGUAAAGUUGAAUCCAACUUCAAGGAAGCUAAUAAUACUAUUUUUCUAGAGGAUAGGAGAGGUUAAUGGAAUUUGAUGUGGAGCGGUGAAAUGCAUUGAUAUAUCAAGGAACACCAAAAAAGGCGAAGGCAGUUAACUAUUCUAUUUCCUGACAUUGAGGCAUGAAAGCUAGGGUAGCAAAAAGG
rnacentral:rRNA from 1 species